GACGAACGCUGGCGGCGUGCCUAAUACAUGCGAGUUGAGCGCUGAAGGUUGGUACUUGUACCAACUGGAUGAGCAGCGAACGGGUGAGUAACGCGUGGGGAAUCUGCCUUUGAGCGGGGGACAACAUUUGGAAACGAAUGCUAAUACCGCAUAAAAACUUUAAACACAAGUUUUAAGUUUGAAAGAUGCAAUUGCAUCACUCAAAGAUGAUCCCGCGUUGUAUUAGCUAGUUGGUGAGGUAAAGGCUCACCAAGGCGAUGAUACAUAGCCGACCUGAGAGGGUGAUCGGCCACAUUGGGACUGAGACACCGCCCAAACUCCUACGGGAGGCAGCAGUAGGGAAUCUUCGGCAAUGGACGAAAGUCUUACCGAGCAACGCCGCGUGAGUGAAGAAGGUUUUCGGAUCGUAAAACUCUGUUGGUAGAGAAGAACGUUGGUGAGAGUGGAAAGCUCAUCAAGUGACGGUAACUACCCAGAAAGGGACGGCUAACUACGUG
rnacentral:rRNA from 1 species